rnacentral:rRNA from 1 species
UUGCUGCUUCGCUGACGAGUGGCGGACGGGUGAGUAAUGUCUGGGAAGCUGCCUGAUGGAGGGGGAUAACUACUGGAAACGGUAGCUAAUACCGCAUAAUGUCGCAAGACCAAAGAGGGGGACCUUCGGGCCUCUUGCCAUCGGAUGUGCCCAGAUGGGAUUAGCUUGUUGGUGGGGUAACGGCUCACCAAGGCGACGAUCCCUAGCUGGUCUGAGAGGAUGACCAGCCACACUGGAACUGAGACACGGUCCAGACUCCUACGGGAGGCAGCAGUGGGGAAUAUUGCACAAUGGGCGCAAGCCUGAUGCAGCCAUGCCGCGUGUAUGAAGAAGGCCUUCGGGUUGUAAAGUACUUUCAGCGGGGAGGAAGGGAGUAAAGUUAAUACCUUUGCUCAUUGACGUUACCCGCAGAAGAAGCACCGGCUAACUCCGUGCCAGCAGCCGCGGUAAUACGGAGGGUGCAAGCGUUAAUCGGAAUUACUGGGCGUAAAGCGCACGCAGGCGGUUUGUUAAGUCAGAUGUGAAAUCCCCGGGCUCAACCUGGGAACUGCAUCUGAUACUGGCAAGCUUGAGUCUCGUAGAGGGGGGUAGAAUUCCAGGUGUAGCGGUGAAAUGCGUAGAGAUCUGGAGGAAUACCGGUGGCGAAGGCGGCCCCCUGGACGAAGACUGACGCUCAGGUGCGAAA